rnacentral:lncRNA from 1 species
AGGAAGGGGGACUCUGGCUCUCUCUUAAUGAUGAGGAAGUCUCCCCCACCACUCAGGAGGCUGUACUCAGAGAGAGAGCCAGCACUGCCUACAUGCUUUUUUACACCAGAAAGUGAAGUGCCCCUUCCUGGUCAUCAAGGCUCAGCACCAGACACAGACAGGACUCUCCUGCUCAGCAGGAGACACUCAACCAGAGACGUCACAUGUGAAACACUAGAUAAGGGUUCUGUGAGAGGCUGUUGGACCUGCCCCCCCCCCCCCCCCCCCCCCACCACAUCAAGCUGGUCUCCAUGGUGGGGUCUCCUCAGGACCGGAGCGCUACAACAGCUCAGUACCAUCAAGUCCUGCUGCUGAACCCCCCCGUCCCCCCAAACACACACAUACUUGCCCGAAUAAACCAAAAACCCAGUGUUUCGCA